GACAGAGGGUGCAAACGUUGUUCGGAAUUACUGGGCGUAAAGCGCGUGUAGGCGGCUAUGUAAGUCGGGCGUGAAAUCCCACGGCUCAACCGUGGAAGUGCACCCGAAACUGCGUAGCUAGAGUCCUGGAGAGGAAGGUGGAAUGCUUGGUGUAGAGGUGAAAUUCGUAGAUAUCAAGCGGAACACCGGUGGCGAAGGCGGCAUCCUGGACCGGUAUUGACGCUGAGGCGCGAAAGCCAGGGGAGCAAACGGG
rnacentral:rRNA from 1 species